CAUUUGACUCGGGGAGAAGGUGUUAGACACUCUCCAAAUCCCGUAACUAGUACAGUUGCACACUUGAUCUAAUCGGCUUUUAGAAUAUUCGAAUUGAGGUAAAACAAACCUAGGAAAAUAAACACACAAAGGGUCGAGGUCGUCCUUACCUAAUAAAAGAAAAAUAAACAUAAACUAUUGUUAGCUCUACUUUGGGCCUCCAAAUACAAGUACUACGGGGCAUUCCCCGAGAUAAAAUAUAUAUUAGUCCUUCAAGGCAUUCCCCAGAUAAAUUUAACUUAGGGAACUACCUCGCCUCACAAUUAACAGAAGUCCUAAAGCUUGCUUACCUAAUAUGACCGGCCCAAGCAUGCUCCUAGUGAUUAAAAGAUAGAAAUGAAAUUAAAUAAAACUCGUUCCAUGCUCACUUUUCCUUUAACUUCUGAUUUCAUGUAUAUGACCAAGCCCAAUUCUUAAAUAUGUAAGCAAAUUAAUAAUAAUGGGCCAAGUGUUUUUCCAACUCCCACGUCCCAAAUCAUUCAAAUAUCCAUCGGACAAAUCAGAACCACACAAAGAGAGAAAAGUAUAAAGCAACAAAUAAAUAUAGGGUCGAUCAAAGUAUGAUAAGAGUCAUCUAUAAUCUCAUUAAACACAUUUAUGCGUCUUACUUCUUACUUCCCGACCUUCCAGCUAUCAAAAACACACAUGCUUACAUGCUUAAAAUCAUGAAUUCUAAGUUAUGGACUUCAAAAGAAAGAAAAUGCUCACAUGUAAAAGCAUUUAGGCCAAACUGAAUUAACAUGGUGACUUGAGGAAAUGAAUUAUUCCUUAACAGAUCAUUAGAUCAACAAAAAACACAAAGAUACCCUUCAACAGAAUGCAAACCCUCCAGCCAUUGGGAGAAGAAACCAAACUUUAAACCAAGUUCGUGACAAAAUUCAUCGUUACUAGCUUAGCUCAACCAGAGAGAUGGUAAAAACAAUGAUCCCCUUAAAGCGUAGCAAAGAGUUGUAAUAGUUCUAACUGCCGAAUACAACUAACCGUUCCAACAACAAUCAGUGGACGCCAUAGAACAAUUUCAGAACUCAGUUGGCACAUAGAAUCAACCAAACAGUUUAAAAGAUCAAAUAGGUAGCAAGAUAUGGUUGUUUGAAAUUGUUUUUUUUCGUUUGCCGUCACAGAACUGAUAUCAAUAGAUGCAAAACACGACAGGGAACAUCAAAAGACGAUUUUAGAAUUCCUGUUUUUAGUUUCAAUUCAAACAAAUGAGCAGAAACAUUCAUAGAAACAGCAGAGAUCGCAAGACAGCUUCCCAAUCUUGUUAACAACCACAACAAAUUCAAGCUCAUUCAUAUUCGACACCGUGAAUACCAAUUUCAGCAGCCAAAAUUAAGACAAGUUAGGAGAAUCGCUGGGAAUGUAACUCAUACCAAGCUUAAUCAACAGAAGACUUCGAUGACAAACUAAUCUAAGGGAUUAGCAACUGCAAGGACUACAAUGCUGAAGACAAGAUCAACUCAAAUUAAGUCACGAGUCAUUGGUUAUACCUCAACAAACUUUCAUGUUUACUCUCGAAAUCAACUGAGACUCACUAACUCAUUCUUGGAUUUGAAAACUAGUCAUUUAAACACAUAGAAUUCUUAUCUAGAGACUAACCGUCUACAUAAAACUGAAAUGUUGAUACCGAUCUUCUACGGGCCUUUUGACACAAGAAUUCAAACGCACAAAUUGGAUGCCAACUCGAGAAGACACGGGAUAGAACCAAAUAAACUGAGGACGCCAAUAGAUCAUUGUCGACAAAUAAAUUAAGACAGCAAAUCCAAUAAUUUCCGUAUUUAUCGUAUUGAACUCAAAAAAUUAAACACUAACAUUUCAAACAGUCACACAUACCAAAUCAAGGAUCAAAGAAUCAGAUUGAACUACCAUUCGACAUGCUAGGCAAGGGCAAAAUCAAAGCUGCGAGACAUUCAAAUACCAAAGCAAAAUAGAACACAUGAUGGUGUAACUUAAUCUUAACUUAAUACUAUAUAAAAAUCACUAGAUUGUCACUGUAAACGCCCAGAUUUGAUUAUUUAUCUCUAAAACAUGUCAAGCAAAUUCACACUUGUAAUUAUAUUUAUACCAUCAUUAACAGAGUAAGAAAAUGAAGACGAACCUGGAAAUUAAGCUUUUAUUAAUUCUGUAAGAAUCGAUUACAACAGAAGUAGAUUUGGCGACGAACUUGAGAGCAAAAACAGCUACUGAAAAGCCAUAGUAAACAACGAAGCAACAGAGCAGGAAACCAAUUUAAGAAUGUGGACACAAACAAAAAUUCGAACGGCGAACUCGACCUCGGAUCAAUCGAUCUCCAUGUUGAAACCAAAACCAAAAGAGGAAACUAAAUGUAUUUUUUGGAAUUUUCUGAUUUUUCGAAAAUGAAACAAGGACUUGAACAAAAUGAAACUCGAACCCUAGUUUGUUUUCGAAGAUUUUUUUUCCAACCCUCUUUUUUGAUUUUUCGUCUAAAGGCUCCAAAUAUAUAUAUGAAGCCCUGGAAGCUUCUUCUCCUAUUCUCCAAAAACUCCUGUGUGGGGACCUCAAACACAAAUUCGAAAAUCCCUUUUCACCAAUAAAAUAAAAGACAAAAGUUUCAUCCAAGGAUUCCUAAUCUUCCUAAAUUUACUCAAGGAUUCGGAUUUUGUGUUUAAACAAAAGAAAUAGAAGAAGAAAUCCGUGUAAAUCAGAUUAAAAUGAUGAGAUUCUAUGCGAAUUGAGUGACGUGGAAGAAGGGGAAGAGAGGAGGGGGGACCACGUGAGUUAAUUUGCCAUUUCCGGCGAGUUCUGGCGAGUUUGCGGGUGAUUUCGCGGCGGCAAUGGGGUGAGGAGGGGGCGCCGGUCUUGUGAGUUAGGGUUAGGGUUAGGGGAUUUAGGGUUAAAGUUGGGCUUUUGUAUGGUUUUGGAGGAUUAAU
rnacentral:lncRNA from 1 species